CCUACGGGCGGCAGCAGUGAGGAAUAUUGGUCAAUGGACGAGAGUCUGAACCAGCCAAGUAGCGUGAAGGAUGACUUCCCUAUGGGUUGUAAACUUCUUUUAUAUGGGAAUAAAAUGUUCCACGUGUGGGAUUUUGUAUGUACCAUAUGAAUAAGGAUCGGCUAACUCCGUGCCAGCAGCCGCGGUAAUACGGAGGAUCCGAGCGUUAUCCGGAUUUAUUGGGUUUAAAGGGAGCGUAGGUGGAUUGUUAAGUCAGUUGUGAAAGUUUGCGGCUCAACCGUAAAAUUGCAGUUGAAACUGGCAGUCUUGAGUACAGUAGAGGUGGGCGGAAUUCGUGGUGUAGCGGUGAAAUGCUUAGAUAUCACGAAGAACUCCGAUUGCGAAGGCAGUUCACUGGACUGCAACUGACACUGAGGCUCGAAAGUGUGGGUAUCAAACAGGAUUAGAUACCCCUGUAGUC
rnacentral:rRNA from 1 species